AGCGAACGCUGGCGGCAGGCCUAACACAUGCAAGUCGAACGCCCAGCAAUGGGAGUGGCAGACGGGAUAGUAACACGUGGGAACGCGCCCUUCGGUUCGGAAUAACUCAGGGAAACUUGAGCUAAUACCGGAUACGCCUUACGGGAAAGAUUUAUUGCCGAAGGAACGGCCCGCGUCGGAUUAGCUAGUUGGUGAGGUAAUGGCUCACCAAGGCGACGAUCCGUAGCUGGUCUGAGAGGAUGACCAGCAUCACUGGGACUGAGACACGGCCCAGACUCCUACGGGAGGCAGCAGUGGGGAAUAUUGGACAAUGGGCGCAAGCCUGAUCCAGCCAUGCCGCGUGGAUGAU
rnacentral:rRNA from 1 species